AACCAUUCUCACCUGCGGCUAGACCUGCGGAAGGAUCAUUAAAAAAAUGAUUUUGGGUAUUUUUUUUUAAAUACUCCAAGAUUCACCUUGUGUGCAUUGUUCUAAAUGUUAUACUUUGGUAGAGCUUUGAUUCUUUAGAAUCAACUUCUAGUCAACUCCAUCCAUAGUGUCAUUCGCUAAGGACAGUUGCCUGUGAAGCGGCCUACCAAGGUUUUUUUCAAACACUUGUAUUUUAUCUGA
rnacentral:misc_RNA from 1 species